rnacentral:rRNA from 1 species
UAACCUGCCCAAUAGAUCGGGAUAACACCUGAAACAGAUGCUAAUACCGGAUAACAACAGAUGAUGCCUAUCAACUGUUUAAAAGAUGGUUCUGCUAUCACUCUUGGAUGGACCUGCGGUGCAUUAGCUAGUUGGUAGGGUAACGGCCUACCAAGGCGAUGAUGCAUAGCCGAGUUGAGAGACUGAUCGGCCACAUUGGGACUGAGACACGGCCCAAACUCCUACGGGAGGCAGCAGAC